UACAGAGGUCUCAAGCGUUGUUCGGAUUCAUUGGGCGUAAAGGGUGCGUAGGCGGCGCGGUAAGUCGGGUGUGAAAUCUCGGAGCUUAACUCCGAAACUGCAUUCGAUACUGCCGUGCUUGAGGACUGGAGAGGAGACUGGAAUUCUCGGUGUAGCGGUGAAAUGCGUAGAUAUCGAGAGGAACACCUGCGGCGAAGGCGGGUUGCUGGGCUGAUACUGACGCUGAGGCGCGAAAGCCAGGGGAGCGAACGGG
rnacentral:rRNA from 1 species